GUCCAUGGCCAUAUCACCCUGAAUGUGCCCAAUAUUGUCUGAUCUUAGAGGCUAAGCAUUGGUUGGGCCUAGUUAGUACUCGGAUGGGAGUUAUCAUUACAACUAAUCAAGUAUUUGUGCCAGAACC
rnacentral:rRNA from 1 species